GUGAAUAUAGUUUAUUAAAAAUACUAGCUUGUGAUUCUAGAGAAGGGGACUAAUAACCCCCUAUUCACC
rnacentral:tRNA from 1 species